rnacentral:rRNA from 1 species
GGUGAACGCUGGCGGCGUGCUUAAGACAUGCAAGUCGAACGGCAGUCUUCGGACUGUAGUGGCGCACGGGUGAGUAACGCGUAACUGACCUACCCCAAAGUCGCGGAUAACGAUUCGAAAGAAUCGCUAAUACGUGAUGUGCUGUCAGAUUGUGUUCUGCCAGUAAAGAUUGAUUGCUUUGGGAUGGGGUUGCGUUCCAUCAGCUAGUUGGUGGGGUAAAGGCCCACCAAGGCGACGACGGAUAGCCGGCCUGAGAGGGUGGCCGGCCACAGGGGCACUGAGACACGGGUCCCACUCCUACGGGAGGCAGCAGUUAGGAAUCUUCCACAAUGGGCGAAAGCCUGAUGGAGCGACGCCGCGUGAGGGAUGAAGGUCUUCGGAUCGUAAACCUCUGAAUCAGGGACGAAAGACACUUCGGUGGGAUGACGGUACCUGAGUAAUAGCACCGGCUAACUCCGUGCCAGCAGCCGCCGUAA